rnacentral:RNase_P_RNA from 3 species
CUAGAAAGCCGGACAGUCGCCCUUCGACUCACUUCGUUCGCUCAGGGUUAAACCCGAGGAGCGAAGCGACGAGGGGAGGAAAGUCCAGACAGCUGAAGACAGGGUGGCUAUCGCAAGGUAGCACCAUGAACUCCUGGUAGUUUAUGGCUAGAUAGGGCCACAGAGACGAGUCUUUUUAAUCCUAAAAAGAUUGAAAAGGGUGAAACGAGGCAACCCUCCCCGCUGCAACCUCCGACUGGGACGUUAUCAGGAUGUCUUCCCAAGUCACAAUGUUCGAGGGCGAAGAUAGAUGACUGUUUAAACAGAAUCUGGCUUACGAGCUUUCUAGGUUU